rnacentral:rRNA from 1 species
GACGAACGCUGGCGGCGUGCUUAACACAUGCAAGUCGAACGGAAAGGCCCUGCUUUUGUGGGGUGCUCGAGUGGCGAACGGGUGAGUAAAACGUGAGUAACCUGCCCUUGACUUUGGGAUAACUUCAGGAAACUGGGGCUAAUACCGGAUAGGAGCUCCUGCUUCAUGGUGGUGGUUGGAAAGUUUCGGCGGUUGGGGAUGGACUCGCGGCUUAUCAGCUUGUUGGUGGGGUAGUGGCUUACCAAGGCUUUGACGGGUAGCCGGCCUGAGAGGGUGACCGGCCACAUUGGGACUGAGAUACGGCCCAGACUCCUACGGGAGGCAGCAGUGGGGAAUAUUGCACAAUGGGCGGAAGCCUGAUGCAGAAACGCCGCGUGCGGGAUGACGGCCUUCGGGUUGUAAACCGCUUUAGCCUGUGACGAAGCGUGAGUGACGGUAAUGGGUAAAGAAGCACCGGCUAACUACGUG